ensembl:lncRNA
AAAAACAUGUUGCAGGAGACUGGCUAUUAUCUCUACCACCUAGGACUUAAAGUUCGGCUGUCUGCUUCAAACACAUUUACACUGAAAUAUAUCUAAGGCCACUUUCCCAAAAGUGCUGGGUUCUAACGUUAGAGAUCCACUCCGUCUGUUUUCUGUUUCACACUUCGUGAUUCCUCACGCAGGAAAUGGCCCAAAGCAGUAACUGCGUUUGGAAAACAACAACAACAACAACUAAGCUAAGCAAUAAAACGCUCGGACUGCUACACUCAGUAGGAUAAGCAACAGAAUAGAGAGAUCCUACAGAAAAGAGAUCCGAGUUUAUCCCGUUGUUUUGGAAGGCACAGCUUCGUCCUGUACUACAGGGCUGUCGCUAAAACAGCAAAGCAGCAAGAGUCGAGGAUACUCACACUGGACUAAGUAACAACUUUGUGUCUUCAUGUGACACUAGACCCUUUCCCCACAGAAGAAAUCUGAUGAAGAGAUUUACAUAAAGAC